UUCUCCGGCUACUUCUUCCCCAAGCUUUCCAGAAGUCGUUCCUUGGUGCUGAUUCACUCCGUAAGCAUCCCUGGAAUCCUGCUCCGUGUCCGGCCCCUGCCCCAGCGCUUGCACUGUGCUCUCUCACCAUCACAGCCUCCUUCUUGGCUGCUUUCACCUCCUUGGCCGUCUCUGCGGCUCCUGCAUCCAGCCCGGGGCGCAUCAGCAAGGAGCUGGACCGGAAGUGGACAUGGAACAGCAUUGCGAGUGGCAGCUCCACCGGCUGUGCUGCAACAGCCCCCCCACAAGGCUUUAAAACUUGUUGUACAGUAAGAAGAAUCGGAGUCGCCUGCGUCAAAGGCAGUGAGAAAGGAAAGCUUGGGUUGCUACGGCCCCAUUCCAGAUUCAGAGGUCCAGGGACCCACUGGCGGUGGCCCAGCCAGUUGUACUCCCAGAGGCCGGCGUGGGGGAGGAGGCUGCCUUGCCUGGGGUCUGGGAUCCCAGGUCCCUCCCCUGCAAGGGAAGAUCCACAGCAGACCAGACUGGUUUUCCUGCCUAGAAGAAGGAGCAUGGGUGGGGGACAUCACGCAACAUGAGGGGUCAAGCGCCAUGUGCACAAAGCCCCCACCCCCGCGUCCGGAGCCCAGAGGA